rnacentral:misc_RNA from 1 species
CCAAACUUGGUCAUUUAGAGGAAGUAAAAGUCGUAACAAGGUUUCCGUAGGUGAACCUGCGGAAGGAUCAUUAACGAAUAACUUGGUAAGGCUGUUGCUGGCUCUUCGGAGCAUGUGCACGCCUGCCACUAGUUCUUCAAACCCCUGUGCACUCUUUGUAGGCUAGAGAUUUCUCUCGAGGCAACUCGGACUUGAGGAUUUGCUGUGUUCAUUGAACUAGCUGUCUUCGUAUCUCUAGUCUAUGUCUUUAUUAUACCCCAAACGCAUGUAAUAGAAUGUAUUGGAUAGGCCUUUGGUGCCUCUACAAUUAAUACAACUUUCAACAACGGAUCUCUUGGCUCUCGCAUCGAUGAAGAACGCAGC